rnacentral:rRNA from 1 species
UAAGGAAUAUUGCUCAAUGGGAGAAAUCCUGAAGCAGCAACGCCGCGUGGAGGAUGAAGGGUUUUUAACUUGUAAACUCCUGUAAAGAAGGAAAAAAUUCCCAUUAGAUGGGAAAUGAUGGUACUUCUGGAGUAAGCCCCGGCUAACUACGUGCCAGCAGCCGCGGUAAUACGUAGGGGGCAAGCGUUGUCCGGAUUUACUGGGUGUAAAGGGUGCUCAGGCGGAUUUGUAAGUCAGAGGUGAAAUCUCACAGCUUAACUGUGAAACUGCCUUUGAUACUGCAAGCCUAGAGUAUGGAAGAGAGUGAUGGAAUAUCUGGUGUAGCAGUGAAAUGCGUAGAUAUCAGAUAGAACACCAAUGGCGAAGGCAGUCACUUGGUCCAUAACUGACGCUAAAGCACGAAAGCGUGGGUAGCAAAACAGGAUUAGAUACCCUGGUAGUCCACGCCCUAAACGAUGAAUACUAGAUGUUGGCUUCGCAUGAAGUCAGUAUCUGAGCUAACGCAUUAAGUAUUCCACCUGGGAAGUACGAUCGCAAGGUUGAAACUCAAAGGAAUUGAC